AGUCAUCCCAUGCUCAGUCAUGACUGUAGGUGGUACAGACUGGACAUAAUUGUUAAGAGGAAGAAAGAAGAGAAGGAAUAGAAUCAAACCAGAGAGAAUAAAGACUUGCUGGCAGAGGCUAUGAGGGUCUGCUCAAUGCUCAUGUCAGUCAUUCUACAGUAGCUUCAGCUGCCUCAAACUUGCAAGUGACAGUCUGUAAAACAGCACCAUUCAAACCCACCAGAGAAAUGACGCGCAUUAAGGAUGCAAACUGGAAUGACAACAUGAAAUUACAGUUAACAUUUAGUGACUAUAUAUGCAUAUUACAAUAACUCAGCAUUUCAAAACCCAGAAAUAUGGAUGGCUUUGAAAGAAAUGCCCCGUGAUUACCUGGAGUCAGAUGGAGCAUCAGCCCAGAAUUCCACAUGAGGAAGUCAUGGGUGCUGGUUUUUUUCACUCUGCACUGCUCCCCAGAAGUUCUCUACAUGAAAGGAUUCAUUUAUUCAGAAUCAACUCUCUUCCCUGUCAAAAUGCAUUAACCAGAACCCUGAAGGUUGAGUGAGGCUGACAGACUCUGACAAUUCCCUCCCAUAGAGACCCCCUUCUGAAGUUGCUGAUCUUCUUUCCCCUUUACCUGCCCCCAUGCUGGAUUCUUGGAUGUGGAUGAUGGGGGAGGUAAUAUGGGAAGAAUUUUAUAUCUUGAGGGAUACUUCUUAUUCUGCGAUUGUAUACUGUGUUUAAAGUCAUUUUAUCUAGGCAGGGGUGAACUACAAAUAGCUUCUCCGUAUCCUUCUGUUCCCUUCUCCUUGCCCUGAGAGACACAAGUAAUAAUUACUUUCUAAACAA
ensembl:lncRNA LINC01830 long intergenic non-protein coding RNA 1830